UACGGAAGGCAGCAGUGGGGAAUAUUGCACAAUGGGCGCAAGCCUGAUGCAGCCAUGCCGCGUGUAUGAAGAAGGCCUUCGGGUUGUAAAGUACUUUCAGUCGUGAGGAAGGUGUUAAGGUUAAUAACCUUAGCAAUUGACGUUAGCGACAGAAGAAGCACCGGCUAACUCCGUGCCAGCAGCCGCGGUAAUACGGAGGGUGCGAGCGUUAAUCGGAAUUACUGGGCGUAAAGGGCACGCAGGCGGUUAAUUAAGUUGGAUGUGAAAUCCCCGGGCUUAACCUGGGAAUGGCAUUCAAGACUGGUUAGCUAGAGUCUUGUAGAGGGGGUAGAAAUUCCAUGUGUAGCGGUGAAAUGCGUAGAGAUGUGGAGGAAAUACCGGUGGCGAAAGGCGGCCCCUGGACAAAGACUGACGCUCAUGUGCGAAAGCGUGGGGAGCAAAACAGGGAUUAGAU
rnacentral:rRNA from 1 species